rnacentral:rRNA from 1 species
CCUACGGGAGGCUGCAGUGAGGAAUAUUGGUCAAUGGGCGCAAGCCUGAACCAGCCAAGUCGCGUGAGGGAAGACGGCCCUACGGGUUGUAAACCUCUUUUGCCGGGGAGCAAGCCUGAGCACGUGUGCCCAGGCGGAGAGUACCCGGAGAAAAAGCAUCGGCUAACUCCGUGCCAGCAGCCGCGGUAAUACGGAGGAUGCGAGCGGUAUCCGGAUUUAUUGGGUUUAAAGGGUGCGUAGGCGGGUUAUCCAGUCCGCGGUAAAAUCGUGGAGCUCAACUCCAUCCAGCCGUUGAAACUGAUGAUCUUGAGUGGGCGAGAAGUAUGCGGAAUGCGUGGUGUAGCGGUGAAAUGCAUAGAUAUCACGCAGAACUCCGAUUGCGAAGGCAGCAUACCGGCGCCCGACUGACGCUGAAGCACGAAAGCGUGGGUAUCGAACAGGAUUAGAUACCCCUGUAGUC